rnacentral:rRNA from 1 species
CAAACGACUCUCGACAACGGAUAUCUCGGCUCACGCAUCGAUGAAGAACGUAGCAAAAUGCGAUACUUGGUGUGAAUUGCAGAAUCCCGUGAACCAUCGAGUUUUUGAACGCAAGUUGCGCCCGAAGCCUUUUGGCCGAGGGCACGUCUGUCUGGGCGUCACAU